UUGGGGCACUGAAUACAUUAGCAUGGGAUAAUAAAAUAGGAUCUUCACAUAUAUUUUAUUGGUUUAAAUUGGAUAUGAAGAUAAUGAUUAAUAGGGACAGUUGGGGUAUCAUAUUGGGUGGUUAGCGGUGAAAUGCUCGGAUCCAUUCAAGAUGAACUAAAGCGAAGGCAUUUACCAAGGAUGUUUUCAUUAAUCAAGAACGAAAGUUAAGGGAUCGAAGACGAUUAGAUACCGUCGUAGUCUUAACUAUAAACUAUGCCGACCAGGGAUAUGAGUUGUUAGGAUUAUACGAAAGUAUAAUCAAUUUCUUCUUAUGGACCUUGUGAGAAAUCAUAAGUUUUUUGGGUUCUGGGGGGGAGUAUGGUCGCAAGGCUGAAACUUAAAGGAAUUGACGGAGGGGC
rnacentral:rRNA from 1 species